rnacentral:rRNA from 1 species
GACGAACGCUGGCGGCGUGCUUAACACAUGCAAGUCGAACGGAAAGGCCCUGCUUUUGUGGGGUGCUCGAGUGGCGAACGGGUGAGUAACACGUGAGUAACCUGCCCUUGACUUUGGGAUAACUUCAGGAAACUGGGGCUAAUACCGGAUAGGAGCUCCUGCUGCAUGGUGGGGGUUGGAAAGUUUCGGCGGUUGGGGAUGGACUCGCGGCUUAUCAGCUUGUUGGUGGGGUAGUGGCUUACCAAGGCUUUGACGGGUAGCCGGCCUGAGAGGGUGACCGGCCACAUGGGGAAUGAGAUACGGCCCAGACUCCGACGGGAGGAAGCAGUGGGGAAGAUUGCACAAUGGGCGGAAGCCUGAUGCAGCAACGCCGCGUGCGGGAGGACGGCCUUCGGGUUGUAAACCGCGUUCGCCUGUGACGAAGCGUGAGGGACGGUAAUGGGUAAAGAAGCACCGGCUAACUACGGG